UACGUAGGCAGCGAGCGUUGUUCGGAGUUACUGGGCGUAAAGGGUGCGUAGGCGGUUGGAUAAGUGUGGUGUGAAAUCUCCCGGCUUAACUGGGAGGGUGCGCUACAAACUGUCUGACUAGAGUGUGGGAUGGGUAAGUGGAAUUCCUGGUGUAGCGGUGAAAUGCGUAGAUAUCAGGAGGAACACCGGUGGUGUAGACGGCUUACUGGACCAUAACUGACGCUGAGACACGAAAGCGUGGGUAGCAAACAGG
rnacentral:rRNA from 1 species